rnacentral:rRNA from 1 species
GCAGUUACCUGUGCUAAGGUAGCAUAAUCAUUUGCCUAAUAAUUAUAGGAUAGAAUGAAAGGAAGUACACGUAGAUUUCUUUAUUAAAAAAAUAUUUUUAACUUUACUAAUAAGUAAAAAAUUCUUAUUUUUUAUAGGAGGACGACAAGACCCUAUCAAACUUUACAAUUAUGUUCAGCUGGGGCGGCAAAAAACUAUAUCUUUUAUUACAAGAUUACUAUGAUAACCUGAUUUUUGAUUUAUUAAGUUACUGUAGGGAUAACAGCACUAUUUUUCCCUAAAGAUCUUAUAUAAGGAAGAGUUUUUGACCUCGAUGUUGAAUUAAUA